GACGUAGGUGGCGAACGUUAUCCGGAAUCAUUGGGCGUAAAGGGUGCGUAGAUGGCAUGAUAAGUUAUUAGUAGGAAAUCGAGGCUCAACUUCGUGGAAGCUAGUAAUACUGUUUUGCUUGAGUACAGAAGAGGUUAACGGAACUCCAUGUGGAGCGGUAAAAUGCGUAGAUAUAUGGAAGAACACCAAUAACGGCGAAGGCAGUUAACUAUUCUGUUACUGACAUUGAGGCACGAAAGCGUGGGGAGCAAAACGG
rnacentral:rRNA from 1 species